UCAUGUGGAUGACAGUACCGGGAGGCCUCCUGGAUCUCUAGGUCCCAGGGCCUCUCUUGUCGCCCUGCAG
rnacentral:miRNA from 1 species